AGGAUUCAGGGGUGUGGCCUCCCAUUGUGCAAGGUGGGUUCAUAAGAGGGUGCUUCUGAGAGCUCUGGACCAGACCACUAUGAAUCAAGGAACAUCAUCAGGAUGGUGAAAGCGACUAAGAAGACGCACAAUCUGACACAGGAUGUUGAGCCAUCAACCUCGACAUCCAAACCCAAGACAGUGAAGGCUUGCCAUCGUAAAUCCUGUUCCAAAUGUAGCAAGAAGAUAAGAAGGCCCACGGUGCAAAAGCCUAAGAAGAAGAGCAAGAAAACACUGCCAAACAUGCCUAAAAGAAAGACUUCUAAGAAAACUACACCACCAAAAAGGACUAAUAAAGGCAAGGGGAAAGAACUAUUUGGUCACUACCACCGUUUGUUGAAAGAGCUGUCAACAGGUAGUGGGAAGGAGCCCGAACAUAGCAGCACUGAGAGCUCCAGGAGUUCAACAAUGGAUUAAGAAUGCCAGUAGACUCAGCAUGCUAACCAAAGACCUGGGGAUCUGUGAAAAGGAUUGGCAGCUGAGCAAUGCUAAACUGUGUAGUCUGAAAAUGUAAGUGCUACACAGUGCUUUGACUCUGGUGAAAAUAAAGUCAAUCUGAUAUG